rnacentral:rRNA from 1 species
CACGUAGGGGACGAGCGUUGUCCGGAUUCAUUGGGCGUAAGAGCUAGCGUAGGCGGCUUGUCGCGUCGGACGUGAAAUCCCUCGGCUUAAACCGGGGAACUGCGUCCGAUACUGGAGGGCUUGAGUGUGGGAGAGGGAGUGCGGGAAUUCCAGGUGUAGCGGUGAAAUGCGUAGAUAUCUGGAGGAACACCGGUGGCGAAGGCGGCAUCCUGGACCAUGACUGACGCUGAGGAGCGAAAGCCAGGGAAGCAACGGG